UACAGAGGUCUCAAGCGUUGUCCGGAUUCAUUGGGCGUAAAGGGUGCGUAGGUGGCGCGGUAAGUCGGGUGUGAAAUUUCGGAGCUUAACUCCGAAACUGCAUUCGAUACUGCCGUGCUUGAGGACUGGAGAGGAGACUGGAAUUUACGGUGUAGCAGUGAAAUGCGUAGAGAUCGUAAGGAAGACCAGUGGCGAAGGCGGGUCUCUGGACAGUUCCUGACACUGAGGCACGAAGGCCAGGGGAGCAAACGGG
rnacentral:rRNA from 1 species